AAAAACAAAAGUUACUAAUUAGUGGUGUGUGAUACUGCAAUAUUUGGUAUUGAUCCGAUACCAAGUAAAUACAGGGCCACUAUUGUCGAUAACAAUACCGAUAUCAAUACUCUUUAAUACAGAAUUAUUUUGAAAAAGGGGAACGUUUGUUCAAAACGCUACACACAAUUAGCACAACCACGCACCCAAAUAGCACCUUGGACCGUUUGCAAAAUGAAACACU